GUCUUUGUUUCAACUGUUUACACUUUUUCGACCGAAGUAGAAUAUUUUUAUAUUACUUGUUCUUAAAAAAUUGACAUAUAACAUACUAGCAACUGUAUGCAGCUCUUAAGUUCAAACUAUUUAUUUGUACAAAUGGCAGAUAUUUGAAAUCUAAGCCUUAGUCUAGCUUCCCACACUUCGAAACAACAGUGCAGAAAUUAUAUUCACUAUAUGUAAAUUCUACUAAAGAUAAAAAUAUCAAUCUACAUUCUUUUUAUUCCACCACGGGAGAACUUGGUAUUGAAAAACAUGAGAUUUCUAAAAUGAAUAAUUAUUUUUGUCAUGUAUGUAAAAAGGGUUUUGUGAGUAAACAAAAUCUUCAAGUUCAUUUCAGGAUACAUACUGGUGAACGCCCGUUUGAAUGUAAGAUUUGUAAAAAAAGAUUUACUCAAAAACACUGUUUAAAAAGACAUUACUUAGUUCAUAGUUAAAUGCAUAUAGUCUUGUUUAGUAAUCUUUCAUUUGAGAUUUAAAAGUGGUUCAUUUGGUUUGUAUAUGUCUGUUCUUAUUUAUAUGUAUUAGAAUUUACUUAUUAAAUCUUUAGAUAAGAAUUUGUUUUAGAAUUGUUUAUCUAACUCAAUUUUCCAUCUGCUAUUUUAUAUUUGAAACCAUUAAAUUUUUUGUUAUUCAACGGAAGUUUUUAC